rnacentral:lncRNA from 1 species
UCACCGAGCACUCUAUAUAUUCUUUUCUUUUUCCCUUUAUUAUUUUUCACUAUAAGGAUACAUAGGCAUGAAGUGGUGUUUGUCUUUUGAGUCCUCGUUGCUUAGAGAAAUAUCUCUCUCUUUGUUUCCACUGCAGUUAAUCUUUGAAAUUGAGUUUUGUCUUGUGAGUCCUUAUUGCUUAGACAAGUACCUUUUGUUACCUU